rnacentral:rRNA from 1 species
UAAGGGCGCACGGUGGAUGCCUUGGCACUAGAAGCCGAUGAAGGACGUUACUAACGACGAUAUGCUUUGGGGAGCUGUAAGUAAGCUUUGAUCCAGAGAUUUCCGAAUGGGGAAACCCAGCAUGAGUUAUGUCAUGUUAUCGAUAUGUGAAUACAUAGCAUAUCAGAAGGCACACCCGGAGAACUGAAACAUCUUAGUACCCGGAGGAAGAGAAAGAAAAUUCGAUUCCCUUAGUAGCGGCGAGCGAAACGGGAAGAGCCCAAACCAACAAGCUUGCUUGUUGGGGUUGUAGGACACUCUAUACGGAGUUACAAAGGACGACAUUAGACGAAUCAUCUGGAAAGAUGAAUCAAAGAAGGUAAUAAUCCUGUAGUCGAAAAUGUUGUCUCUCUUGAGUGGAUCCUGAGUACGACGGAGCACGUGAAAUUCCGUCGGAAUCUGGGAGGACCAUCUCCUAAGGCUAAAUACUCUCUAGUGACCGAUAGUGAACCAGUACCGUGAGGGAAAGGUGAAAAGCACCCCGGAAGGGGAGUGAAAUAGAACCUGAAACCGUGUGCUUACAAGUAGUCAGAGCCCGUUAAUGGGUGAUGGCGUGCCUUUUGUAGAAUGAACCGGCGAGUUACGAUUUGAUGCAAGGUUAAGCAGUAAAUGUGGAGCCGUAGCGAAAGCGAGUCUGAAUAGGGCGUUUAGUAUUUGGUCGUAGACCCGAAACCAGGUGAUCUACCCUUGGUCAGGUUGAAGUUCAGGUAACACUGAAUGGAGGACCGAACCGACUUACGUUGAAAAGUGAGCGGAUGAACUGAGGGUAGCGGAGAAAUUCCAAUCGAACCUGGAGAUAGCUGGUUCUCUCCGAAAUAGCUUUAGGGCUAGCCUCAAGUGAUGAUUAUUGGAGGUAGAGCACUGUUUGGACGAGGGGCCCCUCUCGGGUUACCGAAUUCAGACAAACUCCGAAUGCCAAUUAAUUUAACUUGGGAGUCAGAACAUGGGUGAUAAGGUCCGUGUUCGAAAGGGAAACAGCCCAGACCACCAGCUAAGGUCCCAAAAUAUAUGUUAAGUGGAAAAGGAUGUGGCGUUGCCCAGACAACUAGGAUGUUGGCUUAGAAGCAGCCAUCAUUUAAAGAGUGCGUAAUAGCUCACUAGUCGAGUGACACUGCGCCGAAAAUGUACCGGGGCUAAACAUAUUACCGAAGCUGUGGAUUGUCCUUUGGACAAUGGUAGGAGAGCGUUCUAAGGGCGUUGAAGCAUGAUCGUAAGGACAUGUGGAGCGCUUAGAAGUGAGAAUGCCGGUGUGAGUAGCGAAAGACGGGUGAGAAUCCCGUCCACCGAUUGACUAAGGUUUCCAGAGGAAGGCUCGUCCGCUCUGGGUUAGUCGGGUCCUAAGCUGAGGCCGACAGGCGUAGGCGAUGGAUAACAGGUUGAUAUUCCUGUACCACCUAUAAUCGUUUUAAUCGAUGGGGGGACGCAGUAGGAUAGGCGAAGCGUGCGAUUGGAUUGCACGUCUAAGCAGUAAGGCUGAGUAUUAGGCAAAUCCGGUACUCGUUAAGGCUGAGCUGUGAUGGGGAGAAGACAUUGUGUCUUCGAGUCGUUGAUUUCACACUGCCGAGAAAAGCCUCUAGAUAGAAAAUAGGUGCCCGUACCGCAAACCGACACAGGUAGUCAAGAUGAGAAUUCUAAGGUGAGCGAGCGAACUCUCGUUAAGGAACUCGGCAAAAUGACCCCGUAACUUCGGGAGAAGGGGUGCUCUUUAGGGUUAACGCCCAGAAGAGCCGCAGUGAAUAGGCCCAAGCGACUGUUUAUCAAAAACACAGGUCUCUGCUAAACCGUAAGGUGAUGUAUAGGGGCUGACGCCUGCCCGGUGCUGGAAGGUUAAGAGGAGUGGUUAGCUUCUGCGAAGCUACGAAUCGAAGCCCCAGUAAACGGCGGCCGUAACUAUAACGGUCCUAAGGUAGCGAAAUUCCUUGUCGGGUAAGUUCCGACCCGCACGAAAGGCGUAACGAUUUGGGCACUGUCUCAACGAGAGACUCGGUGAAAUCAUAGUACCUGUGAAGAUGCAGGUUACCCGCGACAGGACGGAAAGACCCCGUGGAGCUUUACUGUAGCC